AUGCCGUCACAACGGAAGAUUUCGGCCUUGCAAGCAUUUGAAAUUGAAACAGCAGAUGAUUCAGGAAUUGUACCUAAAAGAGCCCAUGAGUUAGCAAGUCGACAAGUUGGUGGUCCACUGAACCUUGGCUACACAUGUCGUGAUCAAAUAGCGAAUAUCUUUUGGGUUGAUGCAAAGAUGAUCAUUAACUAUGCUCAUUUCGGUGAUGUUGUUACUUUCGAUACAACAUUUGGGACAAACAAAGAGUACAGACCCUUCGGUGUGUUUGUUGGAUUCAACCAUUUUAGAGAAAUGGUCAUUUUUGGUGCUGCACUUUUAUAUGAUGAGACAUUUGAAUCAUUCAAAUGGUUGUUCAACACGUUCCUAUCAUUGCAUAACAAGAAAAAAAAGACGAGGAGGGACCAAAUGUACUUGCUGAUUUCAGCGCUUGCAUGUAAAAGUAUGAGGAAGAGGAAGCCUUUGUAG
rnacentral:rRNA from 1 species